rnacentral:rRNA from 1 species
UACGUAGGGUCCGAGCGUUGUCCCGGAUUUAUUGGGCGUAAAGAGCUCGUAGGCGGUUCCGUAAGUCGGAUGUGAAAACUCGGGGCUCAACCCCGAGACGCCAUCCGAUACUGCGGUGACUUGAGUCUGGUAGGGGAACACGGAAUUCCUGGUGCAGCGGUGAAAUGCGCAGAUAUCAGGAGGAACACCGGUGGCGAAGGCGGUUCGUCUGGGCAUGUCCUGACGCUGAGGAGCGAAAGUGUGGGGAGCGAACAGG